rnacentral:tRNA from 1 species
GGAGAGAUGUCCGAGCGGCUGAAGGAGCACGAUUGGAAAUCGUGUGUACGCUAAUACCGUACCGUGGGUUCAAAUCCCACUCUCUCCG